rnacentral:rRNA from 1 species
ACACGACUCUCGGCAACGGAUAUCUCGGCUCUCGCAUCGAUGAAGAACGUAGCGAAAUGCGAUACCUGGUGUGAAUUGCAGAAUCCCGCGAACCAUCGAGUCUUUGAACGCAAGUUGCGCCCGAGGCCACUUGGCCGAGGGCACGCCUGCCUGGGCGUCACGUAA